UACGGAGGGUGCGAGCGUUGUCCGGAAUCAUUGGGCGUAAAGGGCGCGUAGGUGGCGGGACAAGCGUGCGGUGAAAGCUCGGGGCUCAACCCCGAGUCGGCCGUGCGAACUGUCUUGCUUGAGCACUGUAGAGGCAGGCGGAAUUCCGGGUGUAGCGGUGGAAUGCGUAGAGAUCCGGAAGAACACCGGAGGCGAAGGCGGCUUGCUGGGCUCGGUCUGACGCUGAGGCGCGAAAGCGUGGGGAGCGAACAGG
rnacentral:rRNA from 1 species